GAUGAACGCUAGCGGCAGGCUUAACACAUGCAAGUCGAGGGGCAGCACGUCUUCGGAUGGUGGCGACCGGCGCACGGGUGCGUAACGCGUAUACAAUCUACCUUUUACUGGGGCAUAGCCCGGGGAAACCCGGAUUAAUAUCCCAUGGCACCUAAGAGUGGCAUCACUUUUUGGUUAAAGCUUUGGCGGUGAAAGAUGAGUAUGCGUUCUAUUAGCUUGAUGGCAAGGUAACGGCUUACCAUGGCUUUGAUAGAUAGGGGUCCUGAGAGGGAGAUCCCCCACACUGGUACUGAGACACGGACCAGACUCCUACGGGAGGCAGCAGUGAGGAAUAUUGGACAAUGGGCGAGAGCCUGAUCCAGCCAUGCCGCGUGCAGGAAGACGGCCCUAUGGGUUGUAAACUGCUUUUAUACGGGGAAGAAACACUCCCUCGUGAGGGAAUUUGACGGUACCGUAUGAAUAAGGAUCGGCUAACUCCGUGCCAGCAGCCGCGGUAAUACGGG
rnacentral:rRNA from 1 species